CAGGAGUUACUAAUAAACGUGCAAUGGGGCUUUAACAGGUGACAUUUAACUCAGGGUUAAAAAUUAUGUAGGACUGGACUUCAGAAACAGAGGAAGAGAAGGGCCAUACUGGCCGCGGGAGGAGACAACUCCAGGCAAGUGUGGGGAGCGCGAAGCAGCCAAGCCCCUGCGGAGAGCUGGUCGGGUGGCUAGGGCGUGGCGAACGCGACGUCGCAAGGGCUAAGGACGUCUGGGUGGCAAGGAAGCCUUUCCCAGGAUGCGAGACGGCUUUCCACAUUUGGGCCUCCAUGGACUUAAGCUCGCAAGCAGGACGCCCCUCAGUGUCCGUUUCCGAGGCCCCAUCCCCGGAGGAGAGUCUGCGCCCAGCGCGGACAGGGGCCCCGCGACCCUCGCUCGGGCUCCACUACGGCGGGCGGGCAUUGGCUGCCCAGAGGGCCCGGUCGGCUUUCGGCGGCCGCGGGCGACUCCUGGUACCCCCGAGGCCCCGCGAACUCACCUUCACAAAGCUGUCGGCGUCCGGGAAGCCUGGCAGCACCAUCUCUCCGUCGGAUUUGGUCGCGCUGGUCGCCGACAGGACCCUGGGCUCCCGGGUACUGGGUGGCGCCAUUUUUUCAGCCUGCACGGCUCGUCUCGCGAGAGCUUGUCGGCCGAGGAGACGGGACGCGUGCGCACCACGCAUGCGCCAGGUCGAAGCGGCGCUUAUAGUGUGGGGAGCCUGCGAUUGGGGUGGGGCGCCUGCGAUUAGGUUGGGAAGCCUGCGAUUAGGCUGGGGCCCCUGCGAUUAGGUUGGGAAGCCUGCGAUUAGGGUGGCACUUUCGAGCGCUCUGGCGUGAAUUUCACGUUCUUUUACCUCAUAUUGUAUCAUCCCAACAACCCUGUGAUCGAGGGUGCGGCCUGGAGGACCUGACUAUCACAUAUAUUUUUGACACGAGUAUUUUCAGUAGAGAUGGGGUUUCACCAUGUUGGCCAGGCUGGUCUUGAACUCCUGACCUCAAGUGAUCCACCUGCUUUGGCCUCCCGAAGUGCUGGGAUUACAGGUGUGCGCCACCAGCGCCUGGCUUAAUUAUUUAGACUGCAUCUUACCAACCUGGUCUCGAACUCCUGGGCUGAAGCCGUCCUCCCACCUCACUGGGAUUACAGUAAGCUCCUGAAGAAAGCGUCUAGCUCCAACUGUGCUUCCUCCCUCCAGUACCCUCUGAACUCCUCCAAGCAGACGUUGUUUCCUGCAGACAUCGCUGGAACCAUUCUGGUUAACAUAGAGUGGGAACUCAGUACAUAUUUGUGAAGUGAACUCCUGGAAGAGCUCUUGUGAGGGAGGCACCGAAUUAUCAGGCAGCUCAAGAGAUAGAUUCACUCUCCUGAAAUUAGAGAUGGGAUGCCCUUAAUACAAUUCAUUCCACCCAUUAAGUCUUCAAUAAAUGUUCAGCAUAUCCAGU
rnacentral:lncRNA from 1 species